rnacentral:rRNA from 1 species
UAUUAAAAACAUGGCUUGAUGAGUAUGAUUUCAGGUCGAGCCUGCCCAAUGAGUAGUUAAAUGGCCGCGGUAUAUUGACCGUGCAAAGGUAGCAUAAUCAUUAGUUUUUUAAUUGAGAGCUGGAAUGAAAGGUUUAAUGAGAAAAUAACUGUCUCUAGAAGAAUUAUUUAGAAUUUUAUUUUUAAGUGAGAAAGCUUAAAUUUGUAUAAAAGACGAGAAGACCCUAUAGAGUUUAAUAUUUUUGGAAAUUAGAAGAUAAACAGAAGGGAUAAAAUUUUUUAUAGUUUUAGAAGAUAUUUUGUUGGGGUGAUAGGAAAAUUGGUGUAACUUUUCUUGAAUUAGAACGUUAAUAGGCGAGCGGAUGAUCCUAGGCUUUAGAUUAUAAGAUUAAAUUACCUUAGGGAUAACAGCGUAAUUUUUUCAAGAGUUCUUAUCGGAAAAAAAGUUUGCGACCUCGAUGUUGGAUUAAAAUUUAUUACUGGUGUAGUGGCUAGUACAUUAGGUCUGUUCGACCUUUAAAAUUUUACAUGAUCUGAGUUUAAACCGGCGUGAGCCAGGUCGGUUUCUAUCUA